GGUUAAGCUAAUAAGAGCGCAGGGUGGAUGCCUUGGCACUAAGAGCCGAUGAAAGACGUGAUAAGCUGCGAUAAGCUGCGGUAAGGAGCAAAUAUCCAUUGACCCGCAGAUUUCUGAAUGGGGAAACCCAGUGGAGAAGACCUCCACUACCGUAUGAUGAAUCCAUAGUCAUACGGAGGGAACCCGGGGAACUGAAACAUCUAAGUACCCGGAGGAAGAGAAAGAAACAUCGAUUUCCUUAGUAGCGGCGAGCGAAAGGGAAAGAGGGCAAACCGGUAGUUUACUACCGGGGUUCGGACUGCAUAAGUGAGCCGGCGGAUAGCAGAAUGGUUUUGGGAAAGCCAGCCAGAGAGGGUGAAAGCCCCGUACGCGAAAUCUUAAGGCAGCGGCAGGAUCCAGAGUAGGGCGAGACACGAGAAACCUUGUCCGAACGAGCGGGGACCACCCCGUAACCCUAAAUACUACUUAGUGACCGAUAGCGCAUAGUACUGUGAAGGAAAGGUGAAAAGGACCCUGGGAGGGGAGUGAAAGAGAACCUGAAACCCUGUGUUUACAAGCUGUGGAAGUACCUUAUGUGUACAACCGCGUACUUUUUGUAGAACGGUCCGGCGAGUUACGUUUACUGGCAAGGUUAAGCACAGAAAGUGUGGAGCCGCAGGGAAACCAAGUGUUAAGAGCGCGUCCAGUCAGUGUACGUAUACCCGAAACCGGGUGAUCUAUCCAUGGUCAGGUUGAAGCUGCCGUAAAAGGCGGUGGAGGACCGAACACACAUCCGUUGAAAAGGGUGGUGAUGAACUGUGGAUAGGGGAGAAAUUCCAAUCGAACCCGGAGAUAGCUGGUUCUCCUCGAAAUAGCUUUAGGGCUAGCCUCGGUUUAGUCUUGUGGAGGUAGAGCACUGAAUAUCCUAGGGGGCGUCAAAGCUUACCAAAGAUUAUCAAACUCCGAAUGCCAUAUAGAUGAUGACCGGGAGUCAGACUGCACGAGAUAAGUUGGGCAGUCAAAAGGGAAAGAGCCCAGACCUACAGCUAAGGUCCCAAAGUGUGUGUUAAGUGGAAAAGGAUGUGGGAUUUCAGAGACAACUAGGAUGUUGGCUUAGAAGCAGCCACACAUUCAAAGAGUGCGUAAUAGCUCACUAGUCGAGAGGUCCUGCGCCGAAAAUGUCCGGGGCUGAAACACAACACCGAAGCUUAGGAAUCCGAAAGGAUUGGUAGAGGAGCAUUCCUAGGGCGACGAAGCGUUACCGUAAGGAGGCGUGGAGCGUUAGGAAGAGAGAAUGCCGGAAUG
rnacentral:rRNA from 1 species